GGAAGGGAGGUUAGGGGUCGGAAAACGGCCUGGGCGGUUUGCUAAACCGUUAAAGGGAGAUAAUCCCUUUCGUGGGUUCGAAUCCCAUCCCCUCCGCCA
rnacentral:tRNA from 1 species